GUCUUUGGAGAAAAUAUGAAUGGAAUGUACUUUCGAUCCCCCAUGACUUCCUGCUCUUUGAAACCCCCCCACCUUCUUUCUGUUGUCAACUAUUAAACGUGUAUACAAAAUGUUUUAUGACCUGAAAUCAAGUUUG